UACAGUUGUGCGUCAAAUAUGCUUUCUCAUUUUGAGAAAACUUACUUUAUUAGAAUCCUCAGUCUUAUAUUCAUGAAUCAGCUUCCCAUGUAUCAGAUAUGCAUGUCCAGUAUGUUGUGCUCAGCUUUAAGUCAGGCCAGUCAGGAAACCAUGUUUCAGUAGUGUAUGUCUUGUACAUACUUCAUUUUAUCAUCUCUCCCGCUUCAGUUAAUUUCCAUUCGAGGACAAAUGUUCCCAAGGGGGAGAUAUUGUAAUACCCCUUAUGUUUCUAAGCUAGGAGACGAACCAUUUUUCCUACGUAUGAAACCUCCUAUCCUGUGAGUGGUAUUUUAGUGCAUGACUUACAAUGAUUAUCCUAGCUAUAAUAUAGCUUAUGAUACAUUAAUCAUGUUCAUAUGAGUCACUUAAGGUAAUACAAGCUAAGAGUUUUUGAAUCCAUCAAGCUUUAGUGUUCGAUUUUGUAAAGGUUAUCUUUGAACGAGUAUAACUCGAUGUUAAUGUGGUAUUUUGGCUGAUUUAGACCCAAAAAAUUGUAGACAAUCGAAUUAUCUUUCCAACGAUACCAAUUUUUCCUUAAUCCAAUACCCGAGCGAAAAGUUAUGCCUUUUUUUGUGAGAGACAGUAAGGAUAGACGAUUGGUUAGGCGCCGCCCAACCCAAACAUAGGCCAUUGGUUGGGCGCCGCCUAACCUAGAUUAGGCAAUCACUUGGGCGCCGCCUAAGUCAGUUCCAGGUGCCAAAAAGACUUCGUUUUGAGUUAUUUUAAGGGUAAUUAAGUCUUUUAACACUUCUUACACGUCCCUAAACUUAACCCUACGAAAUAUAUAGCUUCUAAAAAUAUUACAACCCUAUUAACAUGUUAGUACAAUCAAGGAGAAAAACAUGUUAACAUGUUAGUACAAUCAAAGCUCAUCAUCCAAGAGCACCAUAGGAGAAAAACAACUAGGGUUGCACAAUCAAGCUUGAAGAUCAAAUUUCAAGGAAAUUCCUCCGUCAAUCAUCAAGAACAUCCCUUCCAAGGUAUGCGUAGUGUUCAUCCACGGAUUCCUUUCAUCCGUAGANNNN
rnacentral:lncRNA from 1 species